CAACACACAUUUGGCCAAGCUUUAUGACAAUUUGCUGGAACAGAAUCUCAUUCGGGUCAUUGAGCCCUUUUCCAGAGUACAGAUAACACAUAUAGCAGGCCUCAUCAAACUUUCAAAGGAUGAUGUUGAGAGAAAACUGUCACAAAUGAUCCUGGACAAAAAAUUUCAUGGCAUUCUUGACCAAGGUGAAGGAGUGCUCAUCAUAUUCGAAGAGCCCCCUGUGGACAAAACUUACGAGGCAGCUCUAGAAACCAUACAGAACAUGAGCAAAGUUGUGGAUUCACUGUACAACAAGGCUAAGAAGUUAACAUAGAGUAAGCGUCAGAGGCUGCUACUGUGUGAAAUGGUUGUAUGCGUGUGAGUUUGCCUGUGUGUAUGCGUGUAUGGCCAACAUGUGGAACUUUUUUUCUCACAGUAAAAAGGGACAACAUUGAGCAAGAUCUACUUGUUCCCCAGUUGAGAGUUUUUAAUGUUUUCUUUCAAAUGGACAAUUUCAUCUUUCUGAUCCUCUGAAUUUUUGUUCUUCUCUGUAUCUCUCAACAGCCAACACAGGCCAUCAGGGAAUGUUGUACAACUACAAUAAAAUCCUAAAAUGUCAUAUAGAACUGUAUAGCUCUUCUACAUUGAAAGUUUUUUAAUUACAGCAACUUUGUGAUACAGACUCUUGGGUUUCGGUUAU